rnacentral:rRNA from 1 species
UACGAGGGGGGAGAGCGUUGUUCGGAAUUAUUGGGCGGAAAGGGUGCGUAGGCGGUUUGGUAAGUCUUAUGUGAAAUCUACAGGCUCAACUUGUAGUCUGCAUGAGAAACUGCCGGGCUUGAGUAUGGGAGAGGUGAGUGGAAUUCCUGGUGUAGCGGUGAAAUGCGUAGAUAUCAGGAGGAACACCUGUGGCGAAAGCGGCUCACUGGACCAUAACUGACGCUGAUGCACGAAAGCUAGGGGAGCAAACAGG